CCCCCACAGCACUGACCAGAUUCCUGGAAUACGCCAUUGACAAAGACCAUUUAGGAAUGUAGAAAUCUCUGCCAACUGCAAUCCGGCAUGGAGGAGAGAAAAGGGCGCUCAUACAAUCAUGGGAGACGGCAAUGAUUAAAAGCUACUGGAAUCAGGUCAUCGGGGACUGGGACUUUCCUUUGCACAUGUAAUGUUCUCAGCUUAUUGACAACGGCAGUUCCAAUCGAGGCACAAAAAAAAAAGUUCUGCACCGAGACCAUAAAGAACACAGAGAAGAGCAACUGUGGACAAAACCAUGGGUAUCCCAUUUUGGUGACACAAAUAAGUCUGGGUUUGUAAAUGUUCCGCUGAGAAAAUGACAAUAUACGUUGCUUAACCGGAGAAAUUCUGCACAGGGAGAAUGAAGUUCUGGUAUGAAUGAAGAAUAACCGCAUUCUUUGGGCCAGCGUGUUACAACACAGACUGCUAUUUUUGGGCCCGACUGUAUUCAUAUUCCUUUUCUAUAGAGAAGCAAGCGAUGAAUGAUUUACACAGCAAGUAUUUAGCAACAUGCUCUUACCCUGUAGGCGAUGCCUCUGAGUUUAUGGAAUCUGAAGGAUGCCAGACACGGGACUGGCCUACAAUAACAGUAGCGCGUGGCUACAGAUUUCCCCACUACUGUCCAAUUAUCCCAUCAGAUCUGUACGUAUGGAGAGGGGUUGGGUCAGUCUGGAACAACCCAUUGCUGUGAGCAUGUAAGAACCACUGAAUGCUUGACCAAUCACAUCUAAUCAAUGUACCUGGCCUGUGUGUGAACAGAUUGUUAUGGCUCGAAAACUCAAAUGUCUGGUAUUAAUUAAGUGCAUACAACCCAAAAACUUGAAUGCAAAAAAAAUCGGCAUCUAAAUGCUUGCGAGUUUCUAUAGAAGUCAAUGGGAGUUGUCAUAGGCAAAGUCAAUUUUUCGAGAAAAAUGCGAGAAAUUUUUAUUCAGACAAGUUUUCCUCAUUAAUAAAUAAGCGAGCAUUCGA